rnacentral:tRNA from 1 species
GGAUGUGGCUCAGUGGUAGAGUGCUUGCGUAGCAUGUACAAAGCCCUAGGUUCAAUCCCUAGGACUACCCA